rnacentral:rRNA from 1 species
GCAUAUCAAUAAGCGGAGGAAAAAGAAACCAACAGGGAUUGCCCCAGUAACGGCGAGUGAAGCGGCAAGAGCUCAAAUUUGAAAGCUGGCUCCUUCGGGGUCCGCAUUGUAAUUUGCAGAGGAUGCUUCGGGAGCGGUCCCCAUCUAAGUGCCCUGGAACGGGACGUCAUAGAGGGUGAGAAUCCCGUAUGGGAUGGGGUGUCCGCGCCCGUGUGAAGCUCCUUCGACGAGUCGAGUUGUUUGGGAAUGCAGCUCUAAAUGGGUGGUAAAUUUCAUCUAAAGCUAAAUAUUGGCCGGAGACCGAUAGCGCACAAGUAGAGUGAUCGAAAGAUGAAAAGCACUUUGAAAAGAGAGUUAAAAAGCACGUGAAAUUGUUGAAAGGGAAGCGCUUGCGACCAGACUCGCUCGCGGGGUUCAGCCGGCAUUCGUGCCGGUGUACUUCCCCGCGGGCGGGCCAGCGUCGGUUUGGGCGGUCGGUCAAAGGCCCUCGGAAGGUAACGCCCCUAGGGGCGUCUUAUAGCCGAGGGUGCAAUGCGACCUGCCUAGACCGAGGAACGCGCUUCGGCUCGGACGCUGGCAUAAUGGUCGUAAGCGACCCGUCUUGAAACACGGACCAAGGAGUCUAACAUCUACGCGAGUGUUCGGGUGUCAAACCCGUGCGCGAAGUGAAAGCGAACGGAGGUGGGAACCCUUACGGGUGCACCAUCGACCGAUCCUGAAGUCUUCGGAUGGAUUUGAGUAAGAGCGUAGCUGUUGGGACCCGAAAGAUGGUGAACUAUGCCUGAAUAGGGCGAAGCCAGAGGAAACUCUGGUGGAGGCUCGUAGCGGGUUCUGACGUGCAAAUCGAUCGUCGAAUUUGGGUAUAGGGGCGAAAAGACUAAUCGAACCAUCUGGUAGCUGGUUCCUGCCGA